AGUGGGAUAACUGGGUCAAAUGGUGGUUCCAUUCCAGUUUUUUGAGGAAUUUCCAUACUGCUUUCCAGAGUGUUUGCACCAAUUUGCAGUCCCACCAGUAAU
rnacentral:pre_miRNA from 1 species